GUACUGGAUAAAGAAAAAGUCCACAACAUUCCAGGAGUGAUCAAGCUGCGAAAGACCAUUAGCUCCUCUCAAGCCAGUCCCAUUACCUUACAGAUGAGAAGAGAGGUCCAUGGUAGGAAGUCACUUGCCGAUGGGCUCUCAGUGGAUCAGAAGGUGAGACCAUGAAUGAUUCCAUCCACCAGGACUGAAGUAUUCACGUCCCAGCCGCUGGGAUGUUGGUGCUGACAGCUCUCAGGGAACUCCAUCUGUGACACACGGGACAUGGUGAGAUGAACCCUGAGACUCUCAAAGCAAAUGGACACCGUUUUCACAUGGAAGAUCUGCAGAGCAUUGAUUGUCAUUUUUCCAAUUCAAACAUGGGUUUGUUUAUCUUUUGGCUGAGAGGUAAAUAGGCCAGUAGCCAAUACACUGAAAUUGGAAGUGCACCCCAUGCUGUCCAGCAGACUGUAGACACUUAGUAACAACUUGUUGAAAGAAAAACAUUUUCAGUCAAGAGGAAAUUAUUUUCCUGAAAAUACAGUUCAAUGCAGGCAAAGGCACAAGAUCAACUUCUAAAGUAAACACAUGUGGGCUUCCUAGGUGGUGCAGUGGUUGAGAAUUGCCUGCCAAUGCAGGGGACACGGGUUCAAUCCCUGCUCCAGGAAGAUCCCACAUGCCGCGGAGCAACUAAGCCCGUGCGCCACAACUAUUGAGCCUGCACUUUAGAGCCCGUGAGCCACAACGAUUGAGCCCAUGUGCUGCAACUACUGAAGCCCAUGCGCCUAGAGCCUGUGCUCCGCAACAAGAGAAGCCACGGCAAUGAGGAGCCCGCGCACUACAACAAAGAGUAGCCCCCACUCACCCCAACUAAAAAGAAGAAAGCCCACGCAGAGCAAAAAAGA